AAAUAAUUUAGCCCACGCACCUGCACAGAAAACCCACAUCAACGAGUUUGCUUCGGCAGUCAGGCUGGGGAACCAAAGGCUAAGCCUGAAAGCAAACGUGAAAUCAAAUACGAAAAUUGCACAGCAGCCCCGCAGGAGUCAGCUAUCCAGAGGCCCCGCUGAAACCCCAUCUGUCAGUCAAUUGAUCCAAUGCUGCGACACUCCCUGAGUCGUUGCAGCAGACCAACCAAAUAACUCAAUCAACAACAACAAAACUGAGAUGCGCCGUGCAGUGGGAAAUGUUAUAACAACUUGAAUAAUGAAGAGGCCCCCGAAGGAGUGGGAAUACAUGAGGAUGUCAAGAGCUACUCAGAAGAUCUCAGGGCUUCUCCAGCCACCCUGCCCAAAAGGUCAUGAUGUUAUGCCACCCAUGAUCCCCAAGGCUGACGAGAAGAGCUGUGUUCAAGAAGAGGAACAUGCGGAGCACCAUGACUGAUGAAGGAGACACAGAUGUAAAAAUGGCAGCAGGGUAGAAAGCAAAGAUGGAAACGCUACAUUGUGAACUUCUGAGUGAGUAUUUGUGACUUGGGAUUUUGGAGGUUUUCACUCAUUGCAGAACCGGGCUGUUGA
rnacentral:lncRNA from 1 species